rnacentral:tRNA from 1 species
GCCCGGGUGGUGGAACUGGUUUACACGGGGGACUUAAAAUCCCUGCCAGCAAUGGUUGUGGGUUCGAAUCCCACCCCGGGCA